AUGCAACUACAACCAGACCUGAAUUUUAAAACUUGAUCUCAACUUUGCUUCCUUCCUCACCAGAAGAAGCCUUUAAAACCGAAUAUUCUCCAUUAAAUAUAUUUUCCUUCCAGAAUCAGUCUCUUUCCCCUACCAUAUAACCUUCUCAUAUUCAUUCUCUGCCACCAACUGCAAUUUCAAGCUAGGAUGGAUCGCCGUGAAGGCAGUCGCAAAGGAAGGAAGAAGAGGCACACGAGAUUGAAGGCAUAUUGUGGGUGUCCUUGUCAUGCUGUGUCCACCAUGUUCAGAGGAAUCGGAAGGUGCAUGUUUGUGUGUUGUUAUCCUGUUAUGCAGUGUACUGGUUUAGAUGAACAAAGACAUCGCCACCAUCUUCCCAGACGCUUCAAUUGGUGACUAUGGAUUAUGAAUCCUAAUUCAUCUGGGUCUCCAUUCUCCACCCCCCAACCCAGAUUGUUUGAUUGCUUCAUGGAAUCCAUUGUUUGAAUAACAGAAUCAGUGGUUUCUUUUGACUUCUGUCUUGUUCUUGGCACUUUGGGAAGAGAGAGUAAGAAAGGGCAUUUUUUUUUUUUUUGCAAUAUGGUUCUGAACUUUUUUUUGAAUAAUUGCAAUUGCAAUUGUCUAUAUCUAUGUAUAAAACUUUGUUUAUGGCUUCUUCUUAAUGUGCAAGUUGGAACUUAUGCAAACAUGUGUAUUGCUGGUUCCAGCAAUUCUGCCACA